rnacentral:rRNA from 1 species
GACGAACGCUGGCGGCGUGCUUAACACAUGCAAGUCGAACGGAAAGGCCCUGCUUUUGUGGGGUGCUCGAGUGGCGAACGGGUGAGUAACACGUGAGUAACCUGCCCUUGACUUUGGGAUAACUUCAGGAAACUGGGGCUAAUACCGGAUAGGAGCUCCUGCUGCAUGGUGGGGGUUGGAAAGUUUCGGCGGUUGGGGAUGGACUCGCGGCUUAUCAGCUUGUUGGUGGGGUAGUGGCUUACCAAGGCUUUGACGGGUAGCCGGCCUGAGAGGGUGACCGGCCACAUUGGGACUGAGAUACGGCCCAGACUCCUACGGGAGGCAGCAGUGGGGAAUAUUGCACAAUGGGCGGAAGCCUGAUGCAGCAACGCCGCGUGCGGGAUGACGGCCUUCGGGUUGUAAACCGCUUUCGCCUGUGACGAAGCGUGUGUGACGGUAAUGGGUAAAGAAGCACCGGCUAACUACGUGCCAGCAGCCGCGGUGAUACGUAGGGUGCGAGCGUUGUCCGGAUUUAUUGGGCGUAAAGGGCUCGUAGGUGGUUGAUCGCGUCGGAAGUGUAAUCUUGGGGCUUAACCCUGAGCGUGCUUUCGAUACGGGUUGACUUGAGGAAGGUAGGGGAGAAUGGAAUUCCUGGUGGAGCGGUGGAAUGCGCAGAUAUCAGGAGGAACACCAGUGGCGAAGGCGGUUCUCUGGGCCUUUCCUGACGCUGAGGAGCGAAAGCGUGGGGAGCGAACAGGCUUAGAUACCCUGGUAGUCCACGCUGUAAACGGUGGGUACUAGGUGUGGGGUCCAUUCCACGGGUUCCGUGCCGUAGCUAACGCUUUAAGUACCCCGCCUGGGGAGUACGGCCGCAAGGCUAAAACUCAAAGGAAUUGACGGGGCCCCGCACAAGCGGCGGAGCAUGCGGAUUAAUUCGAUGCAACGCGUAGAACCUUACCUGGGUUUGACAUGGAUCGGGAGCGCUCAGAGAUGGGUGUGCCUCUUUUGGGGUCGGUUCACAGGUGGUGCAUGGCUGUCGUCAGCUCGUGUCGUGAGAUGUUGGGUUAAGUCCCGCAACGAGCGCAACCCUUGUUCACUGUUGCCAGCACGUUAUGGUGGGGACUCAGUGGAGACCGCCGGGGUCAACUCGGAGGAAGGUGGGGAUGACGUCAAGUCAUCAUGCCCCUUAUGUCCAGGGCUUCACGCAUGCUACAAUGGCUGGUACAGAGAGUGGCGAGCCUGUGAGGGUGAGCGAAUCUCGGAAAGCCGGUCUCAGUUCGGAUUGGGGUCUGCAACUCGACCUCAUGAAGUCGGAGUCGCUAGUAAUCGCAGAUCAGCAACGCUGCGGUGAAUACGUUCCCGGGGCU